UACGAAGGGGGCGAGCGUUGUUCGGAUUUACUGGGCGUAAAGGGCGCGCAGGCGGCUCAUUUUGUCAGGCGUGAAAGCCCCGGGCUUAACCUGGGAACUGCGUUUGAUACGGGUGGGCUAGAGUUCGGGAGAGGAGAGUGGAAUUCCCAGUGUAGAGGUGAAAUUCGUAGAUAUUGGGAAGAACACCGGUGGCGAAGGCGGCUCUCUGGACCGAUACUGACGCUGAGGCGCGAAAGCGUGGGGAGCGAACGGG
rnacentral:rRNA from 1 species